GACGGAGGGUGCGAGCGUUGUUCGGAUUGACUGGGCGUAAAGGGCGUGUAGGCGGUUGGUCAAGUCUGGUGUGAAAGCCCGGGGCUCAACUCCGGAAGUGCACUGGAAACUAGCCAGCUGGAGCGCGAGAGAGGAGGGUGGAAUUCCUGGUGUAGCGGUGAAAUGCGUAGAUAUCAGGAGGAACACCGGCGGCGAAGGCGGCCCUCUGGCUCGUUGCUGACGCUGAAACGCGAAAGCGUGGGGAG
rnacentral:rRNA from 1 species